rnacentral:sRNA from 1 species
GACGGCCGAUUCAUCAACAUUAAAACUGCGCUUGAAGGUCCAAUUGUGAAACUUGCUGCUGCAUUUGUCGAAGCGUCCACAUUUGAUAACUCGAAACCGUUUGAAGACCCACAUCCUCAAAUUUUUGGAGGAUCUUUCACACAAAGUGUUGUAUCGGCCAAUAUUCGAGUUUCUGUAGAGUCACGUGUUCAUUUUGCACUCACACUACAAACAUUGCUCAACGCAAUCACUGAGGUAACGUUAUUAUUUCUCAUUCUCGCAAUCUUACACAUUAUCAGAAAUUGCAGAAGAAAUCUCGUGCUGGCGCCCCUUCAUUUGGAGAUGUUGAGGCCUUGUCAUGUGAAUUAAGAGAGAUCAUUCGUGUGUAUAGAGAACUCAAUGAACAACUGGACAUCAAGAUUGUGCAGUAAGAAACAUUUAUUGCAACAUUCAAAAAAAUGUAAUUAUUUCAGAAACGGAGCCAAAAUGAGCAUUGGAACAUGGUUGACAUCGGACGCCGAGGGACUUUCAAUGAUGAAGAAAGAGGGUGGUUACGGACCACAUGGCUAUGAUGAAAUUCGAGAAAAUGACUUCAAUUG